rnacentral:sRNA from 1 species
AGCCACCCAAUUGGGUGUCUCUUGUUUCUGAUUCCCCGCGGGCUUGUACCUGUGCAACUCGAGAAUCUUGUGUUCGAGCCUGACGACAAGGAUUGAAACUUCGUUGCCUCGCUGGGUUGUGGUGGUGGAUCUGCUCGUAGAAAUCGUACAGCUCCCAGAGGUGGUCCAGCGGCAACGGCGGCGGCAACUGCAGUGACAUCCUCACUAACGAUUAUGCCGUCGUUUUUGAAGUGCUUGGUGGAUCACGAGGAUUGGGAUGGGGGUUCUGACAAAAUAUCAUUAAUAACUAUGCCGCCUCGUAGAGAUCCACGUCCUUCUGUUGAGCCUAGUUUCCCCAAUAUAGCUCAGUGAGGGGAAGCUAUAGCAAAUGCUAUUCAGUCUUCGCUUCGUCCUCCCCAAAGAACACCCCUUGAAAAUGUGUAUAACCUGAAGCUGAAUCAUUUUAUAUGGAAUGAAGGACAUGAAGGAGCGGAGAAAUGGAUUAAUCAUAUUGAGAAGACUUUUCGUGUAAUGCAGAGUCAGGGGAAUCUUCCUCCUGAUAGGUAGGUCGAGACGACUACCUGGUUUUUAGGUCAGGAGCCUGCAUCCUGGUGGAGACAGGAGUCUUAUCAAUUGACCCCAAAGGAAAUUGCG